rnacentral:lncRNA from 1 species
CUCCGAUAUGUGAAAAGGUGAUGGAACAGCUUUCGGAGUACGCCGAUUCCACGAUAAAACCGUGCGACGACUUUUACUCUCACGUGUGCGGCCACUGGUUACGAAUGGCCAAUUGGAGCACGUUCAUGCUGGAGGCCACGGAGCACUUCUUACGCAAGCG